AACGUAGGUGGCAAGCGUUAUCCGGAAUUACUGGGCGUAAAGGGUGUGCAGGCGGGGAAGCAAGUGGUGUAUGAAAUUUCCAGGCUUAACCUGGAGGGGUUAUGCCAGACUGCAUCUCUAGAGGACGAGAGAGGGGGGUGGAAUUCCGGGUGUAGUGGUGAAAUGCGUAAAGAUCCGGAGGAACCCCAGAGGCGAAGGCGGCCCCCUGGCUCGUACCUGACGCUCAGCCACGAAAGCAUGGGGAGCGAACGGG
rnacentral:rRNA from 1 species